UGAUGAUGUAUCGGGCUCACCAACUGGGUU
rnacentral:piRNA from 1 species